UCACCCACAGCAGCCAUGACUUUAAUCCCCAUCUUCAUCUGGACUCUGAUCUUCUGGACUCGAGAGUCCACAGGUCAGGUGACUGUAACUCAGACUCCUGCAGUGAAAUCUGCUCGUCCAGGAGACACAGUCACCAUCAGCUGUAGAACCAGCACUGCAGUGUAUUACUACAGCUCAAAUGGUCACUACUUAUACUGGUAUCAGCAGAAACCUGGAGAAACUCCUAAACUCCUGAUUAAACUUGCGAAUCAGCUUCAGUCUGGUUUUCCAGCUCGUUUUAGUGGCAGCGGAUCUGGAACAGCCUUCACUCUGACCAUCAGUGGGGUCCAGCCUGAAGAUGCAGGAGAUUAUUACUGUCAGAGUUACCAUUAUAUCAGCAGCAACGAUCUGUUCACACAGUGACACAGAGCCGUACAAAAACCUCCCUCAGUCACACUGUACAGUGGCUGCACUGCUGCAGUGGGACCUCCUGCAGGUGCUGGAGUCGGAGGCUGUGAAUAUAUAUGAAUAUUUACUAAACUAGAAUAUGUAUAUAGUGUAAAGCAGAAACUAGAACACUGUUUCAGUUUUUGAAGGAAAGCUUUUAUUUAUAAGGCAAAGUUUCACACAUUUCAGCACUGAAACACAUUUAACACAUCUAACUGACUGCUGUGCUAAAUGAUCCGAUCUUAGCAAAGCGGAGGUGCAUUUGUGAGGUCACAGGUCAGAGCAUUGGUCUGCGCUCACUGUCUUGCGGACAGUAGGCUGGGAGUCCUUGGUGGCCUCACAGGUCACUGUGUUCUUCAGCCACCGCUGCUGGCUGAGGGUCAGGGUGCUGCUCCAGCUGUAGAGGCCGUCGUUCUUCUGCAGAAGCGCAGGGCUGACCCCCGACUCCAAUGAGCAAACGCCCACCUUCCAGCUCAGCUUCCAGUCUGAGGGGAAGCCCCCGCUGCCCACACAGUCCAGAGUGGCCUUCUCCUGAUCCUGCUCCACGCUGGACGGGGGCAGCAACGUGAGGGUGGGUGCCGUGUCACCUAGGAGACACACAUACACAGUCUAAAGCUCUGAUAGGUGGAGACAGCUAUCAAUCAUUCAGCCCAGAGAAACAGGUGGAGCCGCCACAGGAAGACACUGUGUUUCAUUUCUCUCAAACCACACAGAGCAGAACUGAGUUCAGUUGAGCAUAAAAACACAUUCAAACUGCAGCCUGUUUAUUUCAAAUAUAUCUGACCUGAAUUACAAUAUUUCAUAAAUGAUAUUGUGUCCUGAACGUAUUACUGUUGGACUUUAAUAAAAGCAUUAAGAACAAUGUGCAGUUUGGUUCCUCCCCCGAAAGCAAAUACUUAAGUCUGAAAUCUUUUAUUAGAAGUUAAAAAUUCAUUACAAGUUAAAAUUAGAAGUUAAAGUUUACUGACUAACCAGAAACCUUUCAGAGUCAACAGUGACAUCUAAAUACUGGAACAAAUGUUCAAAAAACUAUUAAUCCUUAAACACAAAUCACUCCAUCAGAAUAAGACAAAUAGUUCCUCUAUUUCUCCAACAGACUCACAGAAAACAAGACUACAAACACACUCAGACAAUGUUUUUAGAGGAAUUAAC